rnacentral:rRNA from 1 species
GAUGAACGCUAGCGGCAGGCUUAAUACAUGCAAGUCGAGGGGCAGCAUGAAUGUAGCAAUACAUUUGAUGGCGACCGGCAAACGGGUGCGGAACACGUACACAACCUUCCUAUAAGUGGGGAAUAGCCCAGAGAAAUUUGGAUUAAUACCCCGUAACAUAAUGAUGUGGCAUCACAUUAUUAUUAUAGCUACGGCGCUUAUUGAUGGGUGUGCGGCUGAUUAGAUAGUUGGCGGGGUAACGGCCCACCAAGUCUACGAUCAGUAGCUGAUGUGAGAGCAUGAUCAGCCACACGGGCACUGAGACACGGGCCCGACUCCUACGGGAGGCAGCAGUAAGGAAUAUUGGUCAAUGGACGCAAGUCUGAACCAGCCAUGCCGCGUGAAGGAUUAAGGUCCUCUGGAUUGUAAACUUCUUUUAUUUGGGACGAAAAAGGGCCUUUCUAGGUCAACUGACGGUACCAGAUGAAUAAGCACCGGCUAACUCCGUGCCAGCCGCCGCAGUAACAC